rnacentral:lncRNA from 1 species
CACUUCUUGCAUAGGCCUGCACUGUCUACUCUUGGUUUUUGUGUAAAAUUUUCUCUUGAUUCGUAGCUGCAUUUUCUACUUCUUUCAAUACAUUACUCACAGCAUUAUGCGAAGUAUCUCCUGGAUCUAUGACAUUGAUGUUUCCCUCUGUUGUCUUUGCUGCUACUAUAUUUGCGCUUUCGCUUAUGCUUUGACUAGCGAUUGCAUUGACAUUAUUGUUAACACUUUGGUCCUCAUUUUCCACUUCAUUUUCAUCAUCACUAUGCAUUGUAUCUGGAAUCUAACCAUCUUCUAAGACUUCCUCUGUUUGAUUGAGCCAUAAUGUCCCUGCUGCCCCUUUUUCUUUUUCAUUGGUCCUGAAUUUAUCAAACUCUGCAUCUUCAACAAAUUGAUUUUCAUUGUUGUUUCCUAAUUGUUGGUCAUCUUUGGUCCUGUGAAGGAAUGUCUUGACAUAAGGUAUUGACCUGAACUGCAUUAUUUGUGAAAACUGCCUGAACCCAUUGGGCAGUUGAGUAAUUGUGAGGAUGCUGCUGUUCCCCAAAUGUUGUUGUACACAAUCUGCAUGACUCCCUAUUGUCUGGACGAAUUCUUUUUGUUGUACGAUUGAAUGUAGGUCUGCAUGGUUCGGUAUCUUUGGUUGUGUUUCGGUUGGUUGUCUCCCGGAG